rnacentral:tRNA from 1 species
GCAUCAGUGGUCUAGUGGUAGAAUAGUACCCUGCCACGAUACAGACCCUGGUCGAUUCCCGGCUGGUGCA